rnacentral:rRNA from 1 species
UACGUAGGGUCCGAGCGUUGUCCGGAAUUAUUGGGCGUAAAGGGCUCGUAGGCGGUUUGUCGCGUCGGGAGUGAAAACCAGAGGCUUAACUUCUGGCUUGCUUUCGAUACGGGCAGACUUGAGGCAUGCAGGGGAGAACGGAAUUCCUGGUGUAGCGGUGAAAUGCGCAGAUAUCGGGAGGAACACCGGUGGCGAAGGCGGUUCUCUGGGCCUGUACUGACGCUGAGGAGCGAAAGCGUGGGGAGCGAACAGG